rnacentral:rRNA from 1 species
UACGGAGGGGGCUAGCGUUAUUCGGAAUUACUGGGCGUAAAGCGCACGUAGGCGGCUUUGUAAGUAAGAGGUGAAAGCCCGGAGCUCAACUCCGGAACUGCCUUUUAGACUGCAUCGCUUGAAUCCAGGAGAGGUGAGUGGAAUUCCGAGUGUAGAGGUGAAAUUCGUAGAUAUUCGGAAGAACACCAGUGGCGAAGGCGGCUCACUGGACUGGUAUUGACGCUGAGGAGCGAAAGCGUGGGGAGCGAACAGG